AGCAGGAUGGAGUAGUGGGAAGCUCGCAUGGUUCAUGGCCAUGAGGUCGCAAGUUCGAGUCUUGCUCCUGCCA
rnacentral:tRNA from 1 species